rnacentral:rRNA from 1 species
UACGUAGGGGGCAAGCGUUGUCCGGAAUUAUUGGGCGUAAAGAGCGUGUAGGCGGUCCGGUAAGUCAGCUGUGAAAGUCAAGGGCUCAACCCUUGAAUGCCGGUUGAUACUGUCGGGCUAGAGUCCGGAAGAGGCGAGUGGAAUUCCCGGUGUAGCGGUGAAAUGCGCAGAUAUCAGGAGGAACACCAAUGGCGAAGGCAGCUCGCUGGGACGGUACUGACGCUGAGACGCGAAAGCGUGGGGAGCAAACAGG